UUAGUUAAUUUGAAAUGCGAAUACGCCUGUCUCAUCGAAUAUCAUGUAUGUGUUUUUCAUGCAUGUAAAUUCGCUUUAGUGCAUGAACACAAAGGAUAUGAAGCAGUAACUUUCAAGUUAAAAACAUGUAGAUACGAUGACCUGAAUUUUCUACAAAUCAGCAGAAGCUAGAUAUUUUCCGAUGGUUUCUUUCUAUUGAUUUGAUAUGAUGC